UAGGCAACAUAAUGAGACUCUGUCUCUACAAAAAAUUUAAAAAUUAGUGGGGUGUGGUGAUGCAUGUGUAGUCCCAGCUACUCCGGAGGCUGAGCUGGGACUACAGGCUUACACCACCAAGCUUGGCUAAUUUUUUUUUUUUUUUUUUUUAGAGAUGGUGUUUUGCUAAGUUGUCCACACUGAUCUCAAAAUCCUUUUGUUUUUGCUUUGGAAUGGUCUGGAACUCCUGAGCUCAAGUGAUCCUCCCACCUUGGCCUCCCAAAGGCCUGGGAUUACACGUAUGAGCCACCGCACCAAGCCCAUGUUGAGCUUUUAAGGUAUUAAAGAUCCACUAGGUGAAAAAAAAGAGUGAAAGAUACAUAUGCCAUUUAAGGGAAGCACAGGAAAACUCCUAUUUUGUUUAUAUGUGAAUAGAGGCACAUAGAUGCCUAGAAAAGUGUCUGGGAGGGAAUGAAACCAGAUUGGCCACAAAAAUCACCUCUGGAAAAAGGAAAAGAAUGGGGACUUUCACUUUUUGCUUCAUAUGUUUCAUGUACCUUUUUUUUUUUUUUUUUGAGAUGGAGUUUCACUCUUAUUGCCCAGGCUGGGGUGCAGUGGUGCGAUCUCAGCUCACUGCAACCUCUGCCUCCUAGGUUCAAGCGAUUCUCCUGCCUCAGCCUCCCAAGUAGCUGGGAUUACAGGCAUGCGCCACCACGCCCGGCUAAUUUUUUGUGUUUUUAGUAGAGACGAGGUUUCUCCAUGUUGGUCAGGCUGGUCUCGAACUCCUGACAUCAGGUGAUCUACCCACUUUGGCCUCCCAAAGUGCUGGGAUUACAGGCGUGAGCCACCGCGCCCAGCUGCUUUUUCUUUUUAAAAAGUAAAAUAUAACAGAGAAAACUGCACAAAACAGAAGUGUUCAAAUUAAAUUUUUUUUUUUUUGAGACAGGGUCUUGCCCUGUUGCCCAGGCUGGAGUGCAGUGGCUCAUUCAUAGCUCACUGCAGCCUCAAACUCCUGGGUUCAAGCGAUCCUCCCACCCCAGCCUCCUGAGUGGCUGGAAGGCCAAGGGAGGAUCGCUUGAGCCCAGGAGUUUGAGGCUGUGCCACCACACGCAGCUGGUUUUUUUUUUUUUUUUUAAUUUUUUGUAGAGACAGGGUCUCGCUAUGUCACCCACGCUGGUCUCAAACUCACGGGCUCAAGCAAUCCUCCCAUCUUUGGCCUCCCAAAGUACUGAGACUACAAACAUGAGCCAUCUUGCCCAGCCCCUAGAACGUGUUAUCAAAUAAACACCGAUGCAACCCUCACUCAGCUGAGAAGUAAAACAUUGCCAGCCAAUCCCUAAAUGCUUCUGCUUGCCGCUUCCCAAUCCUAACCAAUGCCUUCUCCUGACAAUUAUGAUGGUCAUGUCUUUGCAUUUCUCUAAUGUUUCCCAUCACGAUCAAACUAGUUUUGUUUUGCCUGUGUCCAAACUUUGCAUAAAUGAGCAGCAUGUGUCUGGUGGACCUGGCUUCUUCCACUCAACAUUAUGAUAAGAAGAUUGACCAUUUGGUGCCCAUAGCUAUUGCUCUUGCAUUUUCAUUGCUCUAUAGAUUCUUACUCAACAUACCUUAAAAAUUUUUUUAUUCUGAAAUAAGAGCGGGAUGCUAUUAAAAAAAGAAAAAAGAAGAGAACAAAAAAGUCCUCCAGUAAAUUUAAAAUAUGGUAGUCAAGGCCGGGCACGGUGGCUCACACCUGUAAUCCCAGCACUUUGGGAGGCUGAGGUGGGUGGAUCACCCGAGGUCAGGAGUUCGAGACCAGCCCGGCCAACAUGGCAAAACCCUGUCUCUACGAAAAAAAUACAUAAAUCAGCCAGGUGUGGUGGUGUGCACCCGUAAUCCCAGCUACUCGGGAGGCUGAGACAUGAGAAUUGCUUGAGCCCGGGAGGCAGAGGUUUCGGUGAGCUGAGAACUGCCACUGCACUCCAGCCUGGGUGACAGAAUGAGACUAUAAAAGAAAGAAAGAGAGAAAGAGAGAGAGAAAGGAAGGAGGGAAGGGAAGGGAGGGGAGGGGAGGGGAAGGGAGGGGAGGGGAGGGGAGAGAAGGGGAAGGGAAGGGAAGGAGAAGGGAAAGGGAAGGGAAGAAAAUUAGAGAUUAAUUCAGGAGAUUCAACAUCCGCCUAAUAGAAAUUCUAGAAAGAGGAAGUAGAGAAUAGAGAGGCCAGGUGCAGUGGCUCACACCUAUAAUCUCAGCACUUUGGGAGGCUGAAGUAGGAGGAUUGCUUAAGGCCAGGAGUUUGAGGCUGCAGUGAGCUAUGAUUGAGCCACUGUACUCCAGCCUGGAAAACAAAGCAAGACCUCGUCUCUAAAAGUAAUAAUAUGCCGGGACAGUGGCUCCCCACACUUUGGGAGGCUAAGGUGGGCGGAUCACUUGAGGUCAGGCUUUCGAGACCAGCCUGGCCAACAUGAUGAAACCCAAUCUCCACUAAAAAUAAAAAAAUUAGCCAGGUGUGGUGCUGCACACCUGUAACCCCAGCUACCUGGGAGGAGACAGGAGAAUCGCUUGAACCCGGGAGAUGGAGGUUGCAUGAGGUGAGAUCGCCUCAUUGCACUCCAGCCUGGGUGAUAGAAUGAGACUCUGUCUCAAAAUAAUAAUAAUAAUAAUAAAGUUAAAUAUAAAUAAAUAAAAGCAAAUGAAUAUAAUGAGUUUUAUUCAUUUGUUUUGCUGUUGUUAUUGUUUUGGAGACAGAGUUUUGUUCUUGUCGCCCAGGCUGGAGUACAAUGAUGCGAUCUGGUCUCACUGCAACCUUCGCUUCCUGGGUUCAAGCGAUUCUCCUGCCUUAGUCUCCUGAGUAGCUGGGAUUAGAGGCGUGUGACACCACGCCCGGGUAAUUUUUGUAUUUUUAGUAGAGACGGGGUUUCACCAUGUUGGCCAGGCUGGUCUCGAACUCCUGACCUCAGGUGAUCCACCAACCUGGGCCUCCCAAAGUGCUGGUAUUAUAGGAUUGAGCCACCAAGCCCGGCCCGAAUAUAAUUUUUAAAUUUUUUUUUUUAAGACAGAGUUUCACUCUUGUUGCCUAGGCUGGAGUGCAGUGGCACGAUCUCGGCUGACCGCAACCUCCACCUCCCGGGUUCAAGCGAUUCUCCUGCCUCAGCCUCCUGAGUAGCUGGGAUUACAGGCAUGCACCACCACACCCAAAUAAUUUUCUAUUUUUAGUAGAGACAGGGUUUCUCCACAUUGGUCAGGCUGGUCUUGAACUCCCGACCUCAGGUGAUCCUCCCACCUCGGCCUCAUAAAGUGCUGGGAUUACAGGCAUAUGCCACCACGCCCGGCCUAAUUUUCUAAUUUUUUUUUUUAACUGAAGAAGGACCCCAGGAAGUCAAAAGUGCCUAUAACCCAGGAAA
rnacentral:lncRNA from 1 species